rnacentral:lncRNA from 10 species
GAUAUAGCAAGAAGAUGGCUAUCUGCAAACCAGGAAGAAGGCCCUCACCAGAACCUACCAGCACCCUUAUCUACGACUUCCUAUCCUUUAGAACUAGAGAAGAGAUCAAAAGAAGGAUGAUCCCCACACAGAUGUGCAAGUGACUAAUUCAGUCCAGAAGGAAACCAGGCCCCCCUCACAGUGUUGAGAGAAGACAGCACCAGCCAGCCUUGUAGCCUGAGAAGCUGUCUCCUCACCAGCUUUCUCCUCACCAACUCUUCAAAGAUCCAGUUGAUACAAAAUGCACAUGCUAAAAUAUGAUUCCCCAGUCCUGUCCAAGCUGAUGUGGUCUUCUCCAAGCCCCCAGUCCUGACCAAGCUGAAUCUCCUUUGUCACUCAUGGGGCAACAGGGACUUACCUGCCAGUGCAGGAGAAAGGAGAGAUCCUUUAGAACAGGAGCUAAGAUGCCAGGAGCUCACGCAAAAUGCUUGAAGAAAGGGGCUUAGCCAGAAACCGAACUGGGAGUUGAUGCCCAGUUUAGGAAGAGUUCAAAUCGAGGAGUCAGAAGCAGCAAAUUCUACAUCAGAUCCACAAAUUCUUAACUAGAAGAAUAAAAACAAGUCAAAUCAAGUUGGGCUCAAAAGGAAUAUAGGGGCAGAAGAGGUGAUGUGCAGAUGGGUGUGCCUGGCCAAAUGGUGGGGGUAGGCACAGGCAGCACACACCAUUGAUUUCUUUGCUUCCUUUUUUAAAGAUUUUAUUUUUAAGAGCAGUUUCAGGUUCAAAGCAAAGUUAGAAGUACCAAGAUUUUUUCCAUAUACCCCUGUCCCUACAUAUGCAUAGCCCCCUCAUUAUCAAAAUCCCCUAUCAGAGUGUAAUAAAUGACAAUGAACCUACGUUGGACGCAUCAUAAUCACGUAAAGUCCUGGUGUACAUUAGCUUUCACUCUUGGUGUUGUACAUUCUAUGAAUUCGGACAAAUGUGUAAUGGCAUGUGUCCACUGUUAUGGUAUCAUACAGAGCACUUUCACUGCCACAAAAAUUUUCUGCUCUCUGCCUAUAGUUGGGGAUCAGAAACCAAUACCCCAAAAUAUGGCAUUUUGACAUGCUGAACUGAAGAAGCUUUAAUGUCUCUCUGACCUUCCUUCUUCUGCCCCACCUUCUUUCCCAAAACCUAGGAUUAUCUUGUUCCCUUAUCUGCUUAAAGUCCGAACCUGCCAAAGAAGAAAACAAUGACCUCUGCACCCUUCCCUGAGUUUCCAUUAACUGAACCUAGAUUCCAGGAAGAAAGAUUGAAGUCUGUCAACACACCUGGACAGACUUUUAUCACAAACCAUUGUCCACUCUGCUAACCCAACAGAUUUUGUCCCAGACAACUGUAUUCUCUUCAAGCCCAUUGAAUUCUCCCUAGGAAUCAUGCAUUGCCCCUCAACAGAAUUCCUCUUGUCCCUACUCACAUAGUUUGCUUUGCCGGGAUCCUAAGAUUUCUUGGAAAACCUUAGGACCAGGAGGUAUUCUUGUGGACUCAUUCUGUUUUUCUGUAACCUCAAGAUGGUGUAUAAGCUUCUGCCCCCUAAUCGGGGGUUGGAGUAAUCACUGUGUCUCCUGUGUGAAAGUAAACACAUUUGUAUGCCCUUUUCCCAAUUAAUCUACCUUCUGUGAGUUGAUUUUUUAGCGAAACUUCAGAGGGCUCUUUGACUCCUACACUAUUUAUCCCUCCCCCUCCCUUCAGCCCCUAACAACCACUGAUCUUCUUACUGCCUCCACAGUUUUACCUUUUCCAGAAGGUCAUAUAGUUGAAAUAUUACAGUCCGUUACCUUUUCAGAUUAGCUUCUGUCACUUAGUAAUAUAUAUUUAAGAUUCCUCCAUGUCUUUUCAUGGCUUGAUAGUUCAUUUCUUUUCAGUAUUAAAUGAUAUUCCAUUGUUUGAUGUACCACAAUUUAUCCCUUACCUACUGAAGGAAUACCUGGUUGUUUCCAAGAUUUACCUGGCCACCUAUGGAAUACUGUAGUUUCCAAAACUGGCCAUAAGAUAUUUCCUACUAUUCUUGCAUAUUGCAGUUGCAUAAGAAUUGCGUCCUAAGAUUUUCCAGAAAUUUGGCACUUCUCCAUCAAGACAUGGAUUCUACUUCCUCUUCCCUUAAGUCUAGGCAGAUUUGUGACUGGUAACCACAGAGCAUGGUAGAAAUUACACGGAGUGAUUUCUGAGGUUAUAAAUGAUGAAGCUCAUCUACCUCACAGGAACAUAGGCAUUGAGUCCUGAGCCACCAAGCAAGUGUCCAACUACUCUGAAACUGCCAUGUGUUAAGUGAAAAGAUAGCAAGGGGAAGCACUGAAGCUGCAUCGUGAGCGAGAGAUGCCCAGCCACCAGGCAGCUGCUCCACCCACCUCACCCUCAGCCUACUUUCCUCCACCCUCAACCUUGUACUUUUGUUGCUCCAACCACUGUCUGGUUACAAUCAGAGGAGAGAUUCCAAGACAGUAGCACCCAGCUAAACCCUUCCUGAAUUCGCAACUCACAAAAGUUAUAAAAGACAAUAAAAUGACUGUUCUUUAAGUUAUAUGUUUUGAAGUGAAUUAUUAUUCAGCAACAAAUAACCCAUAACAUCAUCCUUUUUUCCUCACCUCCACUUCCCAGUUUUGCCUCCAGUCUGAGUACUUAAAGUUAGGCCUACAAAUCCAGUCCUUUCCCUUCAAAGGAAACUUAUUAUAAACUGAGGCAUCCAGAAAAAGGCUGUCAUGAGGUUUUAAUGUCAUUCUCUGCUCUCUUCAUU